rnacentral:rRNA from 1 species
UACGUAGGGGGCUAGCGUUGUCCGGAUUUAUUGGGCGUAAAGAGCGUGUAGGCGGCCAUGUAGGUCCGGUGUGAAAACUCGAGGCUUAACCUCGAGAUGUCAUCGGAAACCAUUUGGCUAGAGUCCGGAAGAGGAGAGUGGAAUUCCCGGUGUAGCAGUGAAAUGCGUAGAGAUCGGGAGGAACAUCCGUGGCGAAGGCGACUACCUGGACCAGCACUGACACUGAGGCACGAAAGCGUGGGGAGCAAACAGG